rnacentral:lncRNA from 1 species
GCGGCCCUUCCGGAGCGGUUGGCUGCAUAUAAGGCCGGCUCGGUUCUGGGCGUUGACACCCUCUGGCCGCAGCCGCCUCAGAUUUGGAAUUCUACACUAAAGUCAUCAUGGGCAUUUUCCAGAGAUUGAUGAAAAAUAAGGAAUAUUGAUCGAAAAAGAAACCCAGAACCUUGGGAAACGGUGGAUCCUACUCAACCCCAAAAGCUUUUAACCAUCAACCAGGAAUGGAAGCCUGUUGAGGAGCUGCAGAGAGUCCGGAGAGCGACCAGAUGAUUACUCGCUGCUCCUUUCUUCCAAAGAACACUCUAUGAAUCUAGUGGAAACACUUCUGCACAAACUCGAUUUUGAUGCCAGUGUGCGGAAAUGCUUCUGCUACAUUUUUAGGGUUUGCCUGCAUUCUUUGGAUCCUGCAUAAGCAAGCGAAGGUAGCACAUAGUCUAAAAUGGUUUUUCGUGUUUAUUGGUGUAAAUUUCAAUUUUACAGUUGAAAUUUUAUGUUUGUGAUGGUUGGAUAUUUUCCUUGAAAUGUAUAAACAUGUAAAAAUUAGAUUACUGCCUGUAAUAAAUAAUUAGAUGGCUAUCUGUAAAACGUAUGACCUGUGCAAGAGAUAUCAAAAAUUACUUAACUUUAAAAGUGGAGGGGGCAUCUUUUUAUGGGAACAAGCACAUUUUGAAGUAUAAAACUUCAACUUUUAAAUAUCAAGUGCAUAUUUCUGAGUUUUAUUUCCAAGUCCAUUCACUCUCACCCCAGAAACUUCUUGAGCAUGUAUUGUUUGCAGUAAAGAAAAAGGGUGCAAAGUUAGCAAGGGUUUGGAUAUGGUCCGUUUGGAGCAUGGAGACAGCUGAGAGGGCUGCCUGGGAAUGGCUGGUGACCAGGAACCUGAGGCAUGCAGAGACCAGCCCUGCAGAUCUCCGUGGGACUGCUGCUCCCCAGGAGGAUGGAGAGAGGAGCCUGGGGAGCCCUGGCCAGCACCCAGUACAGUCUGACCAAACAGAGACCAGGCGAUUGUUUAAUUCUUUCCAGAAUGUGCCCCCAACCCCAUUCCUUGCCGACUCCUAAAAAUGGGACGAAGUAGGAAGUUCCUUUUCAUUGACUGUAAAAUAAAUACAGCUAUAAUUCAUAUGCCAU